rnacentral:lncRNA from 12 species
UUAAUUAAUCACUGAAUUAAUUAAUCACUGAAUCAACCGCUGAAUUCGUCACCCGGCCGUGCGGCGGAGCAGCUGCUCGGCAUCAGCCCAAGGGGCUCCGGGCUGCUGCUCCCUCCCUUUUCCGGGAGCACCGAGGGACGAGGACACUUUGCUGGGCAAAACAACUUUUUUUCUUCCCCCCUCCCCCCCCCCUUCUUUUUCGUUGCGUGACCCUUUUUCGAGCACCACGAAGGAGAAGCAGCUCCCCGGGGAUAUUUUUCUUGCCUUUGUGUUCUUCCCCGCGCCUCUCUCUCUCGGUUUCCCUGGGCUGCACCUUUCCCUGGAGCCCAGCCCAUCCCAAACAUUCGCGGCUCCUCCGGAAGCCUCCUGCCGGCUCUGCCCGCUCAAAGUCACCUUGUCCCGACCCGCCGCGCUCCGGCCUCUCCCGGCAAAUCAUUAAUCGGCUCCUCGGCAUUCCCGCAUGGAAAAAUGCCCCAGCGGGUGCCCCCGGCCUGGCACUCGGACAUGCAGCUGCCCGGGAAGCUGCUCCUGUCGGCGGCCGCGCUGCUGCUCCUGUCCCUGGCCUUCAGGUUUUAUAGGAACCGCUCGCCUCCCCCGGGAAAAAUCCCGCCGGGAGAGCGGCGGGAAAGCCGGGAUGGGGAUGGGGAAAACCGGGAUGGGGAUCUGAGGAGGAGGAGGGAUGGCGGCGACAAAUCUGGGAAUGGCCUCGGGAUGCGGCACGCGGCUCUCCGGGGGGAGAAGAGUUUUCCAAGGAGUGAGGAGGAGGAGGAGGAAGGAGAGGAGGUGGGUUCGGAGCUAGCCAUGAUUCCCAGGAAAGCCCCGCUCCGUCCGGCCGGGACAGGGAGGGAGGUGGGAACUAAACUGGGAUGGAAAUUGGGAAUUAAUUCAGAAAGAGAAGCAGGGGUUGAGCUGGGGAAUGAUCCCGGGAGCAGGACGGGAAGCGAGCUGGGAAAAGAGCCGGGAAUCAAGUCGGGAAGCAGGCUGGGAAUCAAGCCGGGAAAUAAUCCAGGAAGGAAGUCAGGAAGUGAGCCAGAAUUGGUAACGAAGCCAGGAAAUGAGUCGGGAAGUGAGCAGGCAAACGAGCCGGGAAUCGAGCUGGGAAAUAAAUUGGGAAUGAAGUCAGGAAUGGAGCUGGGAAGUGAGAAGGGAAGCGAACCAGGAGGCAAAGUGGGAAGUGAGCUGGGAGGUAAGGCAGGGAUACAGCUGAGACGCGGGCCGGGAGUUCUGCUGGGAGGCAAGGCAGGAGUGGAGGUGGGAAGUGAGCUGGGCUCUCACGACCCCGGGGCCGAGGCCGCAGCCCGGGGCCGCCCCGCGGAGAGGGACAGGGACGCGCCUGCCCCGAGCUCCGCGGGUUCCCCGGGGAUUUGCGAUGCCCGGGCUGAGGGGGAUGGAUGCGCGCAGAGCGCGGAGCAGGAUCCGGCUGGAGCCGGGAGGAGCAGCCAGGGCAGCUCGGGCACCGUCCGGAGCCUCAGCGUCACCUCCAGCCUGGGGCUGCUGCUGGCGGCGAGCGAGGCGGGCUCGGACACCUCCUACUGCUUCUCCUCGGUGGCCAAGAUCCAGGUGGAGGAGAACUUCAUCCCGGAGCGCCGCGACAAGGACAGGGACAGCUCGCCCGGGCCUGGCCUGCGGGGCAAAGUCUACGACUACUUCGUGCAGUCCGUCUCCGAGUCGGUGUCCAGGCGGACGUCCCUGCCCUUCGUCCCCGCGGGGACAUCCCAGAACCGAGGGGAGCGGGGCCAGGCAGAGCCGCAGAGCUCCGGAACCCAGGGGGAGAAUCCAGCUUUGGGAAUUCCUGAUCCCAACACCUCCGGAGCUGCCGAGGAGGCCAUGGAGAGCCCUCCCGAGCCGCCUUCCCCCGGCUGGAGCGGCAGCACCCUCGGGAUCGCCCCCCGGCUGCCCGGUGGGGCUCCAGCCGCGGCUCCUGAGCCCUCCCAGGGGUCUCCACCCGCCCGGGUGCACUUGGGGAACUGCUCCGAGGUUCUGCGCUCGGCCAAGGCGCGGCAGCUGCGGGGCCUGCAGGACGCGGGGGGGGGGGGGGGGGGGGGGGGGGGGGGGGGGGGGGGGGGGGGGGGGGGGGGGGGGGGGGGGG